rnacentral:lncRNA from 1 species
GAGGGCGGAGGCGGAGGCGAGUAGGAGGAGCCUGGUGGCGGGGGAGGGGGAGAGGAAGGCGAGGAAGCGCGGGAGGGGGGAGAAGGCGAAGAGGAUGGCGUAGACGAAGAUGGUGGUGGCGAGGAGGCGCGCGGAGUGGAGGCGGAAGGCGGCGGCGGCGGAGUGGAGGGAGGGGGUGGUGUGGAGGGAGAGGAGGGUAGAGUGGACGGCUGCGAGGGCGGCGGCGAGGGAGAGGAGGUAGGAGGGGAGGGAGAAGAGGGCCUUGAUGCGGAGGAGGGAGAGGGCUUCGUGGCGGGAUUCUUGCCAGACGUGGCGGGACUCGAAGCGUGUGG